rnacentral:rRNA from 1 species
UUAGGUGGCUACAGCGGCGGGGCACCACCUCUUCCCAUUCCGAACAGAGAAGUUAAGCCCGCCAGCGCCGAUGGUACUGCGUAACAGUGGGAGAGUAGGUCGCUGCCAACU